rnacentral:rRNA from 1 species
UGGGGAAUAUUGGGCAAUGGAGGGAACUCUGACCCAGCCAUGCCGCGUGCAGGAUGAAGGCGUUAUGCGUUGUAAACUGCUUUUAUAUAGGAAGAAAUAGUCCUUGCGAGGAAAGUUGACGGUACUAUAUGAAUAAGCACCGGCUAACUCCGUGCCAGCAGCCGCGGUAAUACGGAGGGUGCAAGCGUUGUCCGGAUUUAUUGGGUUUAAAGGGUGCGUAGGCGGUUUAUUAAGUCAGUGGUGAAAGACGGUCGCUCAACGAUUGCAGUGCCAUUGAUACUGGUAGACUUGAGUAUGAUUGAGGUAGCUGGAAUGGAUAGUGUAGCGGUGAAAUGCAUAGAUAUUAUCCAGAACACCAAUUGCGUAGGCAAGUUGCUAAGUCAUAACUGACGCUGAGGCACGAAAGUGUGGGUAUCAAACAGGAUUAGAUACCCAUGUAGUCCCUGAGCGGGCUGGCAAGGCGCAU